rnacentral:rRNA from 1 species
AAACAUCUUUUCUUGUUUUUAAUUUGAAGUUUGACCUGCCCAAUGAUUUAAUUUAAUGGCCGCGGUAUUUUGACCGUGCAAAGGUAGCAUAAUCAUUAGUCUAUUAAUUGUAGACUUGUAUGAAUGGUUGGACGAGAUAUUGGCUGUCUUAUAUUUUAUUUAAAUAGAAUUUAAAUUUUUAGUUAAAAUGCUUAAAUUUUUUUAUUGGACGAGAAGACCCUAUAGAUUUUUAUUACUUUAUUUUUAAUAUUUUUUUUGUUUAUUUUUUUAUUACUAUUUAUGGUUUUUUGGUUGGGGUGACAUUAAGAUAAAUUUAACUCUUAUUUUUUUAUAUUCAAUUAUUUUUGUAUAAAUGACUUUUUUAUUGAUGUUAUAAGAUUAAAUACCUUAGGGAUAACAGCGUUAUUUUUUUUGAGAGUUCAUAUCGACAAAUUAGAUUGCGACCUCGAUGUUGGAUUAAGAGUGCUUUUAUUGGUGUAGAAG